UUCUUAUAUUGCAUAAGCUUCAUAAAUAACUCUAGCACCAAUCCACCCAUAAUACUACUAUGUAAUUCGUGCAUUACUGCUAGCCAACAUGUAUAAUAUAUA
rnacentral:ncRNA from 1 species